rnacentral:rRNA from 1 species
GAGUCUGCAACUCGACUCCAUGAAGUUGGAAUCGCUAGUAAUCGCGGAUCAGCAUGCCGCGGUGAAUACGUUCCCGGGCCUUGUACACACCGCCCGUCACACCAUGAGAGUUGGUUGUACCCGAUGUCGCUGGGCCAACCCUUCGGGGAGGCAGGUGCCUAAGGUAUGGCUGAUGAUUGGGGUGAAGUCGUAACAAGGUAGCCGUUGGGGAACCAGCGGCUGGAUCACCUCCUUUCUAAGGAA